UGGAAGGUUAAAGUCGUAACAAGGUCUCCGUUGGUGAACCAGCGGAGGGAUCAUUACCGAGUUUACAACUCCCAAACCCCUGUGAACAUACCUUAUGUUGCCUCGGCGGAUCAGCCCGCGCCCCGUAAAAAGGGACGGCCCGCCGCAGGAACCUUAAACUCUGUUUUUAGUGGAACUUCUGAGUAUAAAAAACAAAUAAAUCAAAACUUUCAACAACGGAUCUCUUGGUUCUGGCAUCGAUGAAGAACGCAGCAAAAUGCGAUAAGUAAUGUGAAUUGCAGAAUUCAGUGAAUCAUCGAAUCUUUGAACGCACAUUGCGCCCGCCAGUAUUCUGGCGGGCAUGCCUGUUCGAGCGUCAUUUCAACCCUCAAGCCCAGCUUGGUGUUGGGAGCUGCAGUCCUGCUGCACUCCCCAAAUACAUUGGCGGUCACGUCGAGCUUCCAUAGCGUAGUAAUUUACAUAUCGUUACUGGUAAUCGUCGCGGCCACGCCGUUAAACCCCAACUUCUGAAUGUUGACCUCGGAUCAGGUAGGAAUACCCGCUGAACUUAGCAUAUC
rnacentral:rRNA from 1 species